rnacentral:rRNA from 1 species
AGAGUUUGAUCAUGGCUCAGAGUGAACGCUGGCGGCGUGGAUAAGGCAUGCAAGUCGAGCGAUAUCCGCAAGGAUAUAGCGGCAAACGGGUGAGUAACAGGUAGAUAACCUACCCUAAAGCGCGGGAUAGUCCGGCGAAGGUCGGAGUAAUACCGCAUGUGACCAUGGUGGCGCAUGCCACUAUGAGGAAAGAUGGCCUAGACCGCAAGGUUGCUAUCACUUUAGGAGGGAUCUGCCCCCCAUCAGCUAGUUGGUAGGGUAACGGCCUACCAAGGCUAUUACGGGUAGCUAGCCUUAGAGGGCGGUUAGCCACACUGGGACUGAGACACUGCCCAGACUCCUACGGGAGGCUGCAGUCGAGAAUCUUUGGCAAUGGACGCAAGUCUGACCAUGCGACGCCGCGUGCGGGAUGAAGGCCUUCGGGUCGUAAACCGCUGUUAAGGGGAAAGAAAGCCUAUCUCGUGAACAACGAAGUAGGUAUGACGGUACCCCUAAAGAAG